rnacentral:misc_RNA from 1 species
AAAUGUCGUAACAAGGGUUUUCCGUAGGUGAACCUGCGGAAUGGAUCAUUAUCAAAAGUAAAGCUGGUAGGAAUGUGGGGGGUUCUUGAUCUGUAAGUGGUAGAGCGAACAGUCCGGCUGCCUUCCCGAAACUGUCUUACAUGUCCCCCCACAGCCUGAAUGGCCGAAUUACAACCCUUGAUUAUCUACACUUGUUGCUUUGGGGGUGCUCAAGUGCCCCAGAGGACCCGGCUCCUGGCCAAUUUUUUAAAGUUGAACGGUCCUUGAGGUUGAACCUUUAUUAAAUUUUUGAAA